GGGUCGGCGCCAAUGCAAGGGGGCCGGCCAUUCCUUUUCUCAUUGCCCACAUCAGCGAUUGUCGCCACCACCCCUGGACGCUGAUGCGGUGCUGGCUGAUUCCCAAAGCCCUUUGCCUUCUGUAUUGUGUUGAUUUGCACCAUAACCCUGCCAGAGAAACAGCACGUAGCCUCAGUUUACAGAUGGUAACACAGAGGUCCUUUCAGCAAACUGUCACAGGUUCCCCUCUGUUUGUCAGGCUUGGCCCUGGGAUAUGUGUUAAACAUGACAGAGACCCUGCCCUUGGGAAGCUUGUGUGCUGUGCAAAGGAGAAAGGGGCUUAACAUGUAAACACACAGACACCAUAGUUCCAGGGGGCGGCCGUGCUCUGGGAGAGCAGCAGUGGGGCAUGUGAUAGAGUGACUUGGUAGGGACAUCCUUGGAUACAGUCAUCAGGGAAGGCCUUCGAGGAGGUCACAUUUGAACUCUAACGAAGUAACAGAGUGAGCCACGCAAAUACCUGCAUGUGUUGGGUUGGGGGUUGCAGGGGCAGUCAUGCAAAGGCCCUGGGACAUGAGCAUUUGAGGGAAACCAAGAAGGCUGGUGUAGGCCGCGCACGGUGGCUCACACCUGUGAUCCCAGCACUUUGGGAGGCUGAAGCAGGAAGAUCACUUGGGGCCAGGAGUUUGAGACCAGCCUGGGCAACAUAGACCCCAUCUCUACUAAUGAUUUUUUAAAAAAUAAGCCAGGUGCAGUGGUGCACACCUGUAGUCUGAGCUACUUGAAGGCUGAGGCGGGAGGAUCACUUGAGCCCAGGAGGUCGAGGCCACAGUGAGCUGAGAUCAUACCACUGUACUACAGCCUAAGCGACAGUAAGAUGAAAAAAAUAAAGAAGGCUAGUGUGUCAGAAGAUGACUGAGGCCUCAGGAGGUUGGAGAUGAGGUCACAGGGGUCAGGUCAUGUAGCUCCUUAGAGGCUGAGGUUUGGAUUUUAUUCUAAGUGUGCUGGGAAGAGAUUGGAGGCUCUUAUCACAGGCAAACACUUACCAGUGAGCAGCCCGGGAUGGCAUCCCAGACCUGAAUGACACUGGAGCCCCUGAACUGUCACUCAUCCAAUAAGCACUUGUCUAGAACCUUCAUGCAGGGCCUCUGCUGGUGCUGGGAAAAGGAGAAAUGGGCCGCAAGAUUCAGGCCAGGCGGGGCUGUGGGCAGCAUCUGCUCUGCUCAGCCCUGCAGCUUCCUGCCCGCUAAAGCAGGGGUGCCUCCUGCAGCUCACCCCAAGGAAAACUCAGAGUCAAUACUUCUGAGAAACUCCUUGGCUCCCCACAUGAGCCUCUUCCUCAUGUUUGAUGGAAUGGGGACGGACCGGGGGUGGGUGCCCAACUUCAGAAUGUGUGGUGACCACUCUGCAGAAUCAAGUAUGGCAGUAAAGGCCAGGCACAGUGGCUCACGCCUGUAAUCCCAGCACUUUGGGAGGCCAAGGCAGGUGGAUCAUUUGAGGUCAGGAGUUUGAGGCCUGGGCAACGUGAUGAAACCCCGUCUGUACGAAAAAUACAAAAAUUAACUAGGCCUGGAGGCGGGCGCCUGUAGAGUCCCAGCUACUCAGGAGGCUGAGGCAGGAGAUUCGCUUGAACCUGGGGGAUGGAGGUUGCAGUGAGCUGAGAUCGCAGCACUGCACUCCAGCCUGGGCGACAGAGCAAGACUCUGUCUCAAAAAAAAAGAGUGUGUGUGUAUAUAUAUAUAUAUAUUUAUAUAUAUAUAUAUAAAUUUAUAAAAACAUAUAUGGCACUGAAAAGGACUGUGGGAACCAAGGAAAAAGGAAAAGUUUGAUCCAGGUCUGGAUUCUCUUUUCCUUGGAUUUCCUUUGUUGAGAUUUGAUUAGUAACAAUGAAAACAAAAGUUCUCAUGAUUCUAAGCAGUUUCUGGAGCCAGGCGGCCCAGGUUUGAGUCCUGACCCUGAAACCUCCCUGCUAUGUGACUUUGAUCAAGUCACGUGACCUUCAUGUGCCUAAGUUGCACCCCUAUGUAAAAAUGGAAGAAAUUGAGGGUAAAAUCAAUGAAUCUGUACAGACCGCUUAGAAUCUUACCUGGUUCAUAGAAAACACUCAGCAAGUAUUAGCUCUUAUUACUACGGGUUGUCAUUAUCCAGUCCAACCUACUGACUGAACAGAUGAGAAAAGUUUAGACUGAGAGAGGGAGAGUGAUUUGUUCAAGGUCACACAGCAAGUUAGUGGCAGAGUCAGAAGUGAACCCAGAUCAGCUGAAAUCAGCUCCCUGAAGGAAGGCUUCUGUCUCUCUGGGACCCUUUGACCCAGGGCUGCUGGAGACCCUGUGGUUAAGGCUGGUGGGGAGACUGAAAUCACACGCACCAUGGAUUGAUCCACCGUGGUGUUCCACUGCCCAAGAGCUUACGAUUCCAGACAGAGGCCUGCCAUGCAUUCCUUUGCUCACCCUUUGUCUCCCUUAUCUCUGGUGGAGUGCCCACUCUGUGCCUGUUCUGAGCUUUGCCAGGUUGGAGGCAGGGCAGGGAGGCACAUUCUGGGGCCUGCGUCUCCCUGCCGCGGUGACUUGGACAUUAGAAAGUUUUCUAGCAGCAAAGUAAGCCUGGGCCUGGAGGACCCCGGAACCCUAUCCCAAUUUCCUUCAGCCCAAGAAGGAGGACUUUUUUGUUUGUUUGUUUGUUUGUUUGUUUGUUUUGAGACGGAGUCUCACUCCGUCGACCAGGCUGGAAUGCAGUGGCGCAAUCUUGGCUCACUGCAGCCUCCACCUCCCAGGUUCAAGUGAUCCUCCUGCCUCAGCCUCCCAAGUAGCUGCGACUACAGGUGUGUGCCACCACGUCCAUCUAAUAUUUGUAUUUUUAAUAGAGACGGGAUUUCAUCAUGUUGGCCAGGCUGGCCUUGAAGUUCUGACCUCAGGUGAUCUGCCCACCUUGGCCUCCCAAAGUGUUGGGAUUACAGGUGUGAGCCACCACGCCCAGCCUUGCCUUUUCAUGUCCGAAUUGUCUGAAUCAUAUUCCGUUCUAUGGCCAUACCGCAUGUUGUUUGCCCACUCAUCUGUGGAUGGACCUGUGAGACGUCACCAACCUUUUGGCUGUUGUGAAUCACGCUGCUGUGAACAUCGUGCUCAAGCUUUUGUGUGGACCUAUGUUUUCAGUUCUUUGAGGUGUAUACCUAGGAGUGGAAUUGCUGGGCCAUAGGGAAACUAUGUUAAACUUCCGACACUUCUGCAGGGCACCCGGAGGCCUCGGACCCACAGGGCCUGGACCUGAGGGCUCUGAGCCGCUUCCCUGUGCAUCAGUGCACGCACGCUCGCAGCGCCCUCCACCCAGGGAACUUUGCUUCCACAGCCUUCCAGAUCCCUGCUGGGCUUGUCAUGAAUCAGCCCACACGUGAGCAAUCUGAGACGCACUUAAAUGGCAUCUAGCGUGGGUCCGGCUCCCAAAGGGUUAGCUCAGGAGGAGCACGGCAGCAGCCCUCCCGCCUGAGUGGAGAGACGGGGCAGAUGCCAGGCAUGCCUUUCGUGGUUAUUUUUAUUUUGCAUGGGAAACCAUGGGAACACAACAAGGAGAAAGCAUGUCUUCCACCUGCUAGGGGAACAGACCUGGGACAGACAGGGUCCUUGGGAGAAGGUGGAGCCGGGGAAGUGAGGGCUGAGAAUGUGCUGGGCAGAGGCCAGGGGUAGACCGAGGACUUGGGGGUGUGCAGUCGUCCGAUUCCUGUAUGGGGGGUGAGGGGGUGCUGAGAGGAGCCAGCCCCGCAUGGAACAGUGUGGCCUUCCCAGCAGUUCAACUGGGACACUGUGCUCAGAGGCACCUGGCAGGCUCCUCUACCCCCGGAAGUCUCCAGAUUAAAAAGCACUUCGCUCCCGGCUGUUUGUGGCAAUCCAGUUUGUCAGCUGGAGGGCAGCGCGCAGAAACUUGUUAGCACAGGCAGAAAUGAAUGACAGGUAUGCAAGCCAUCGCGCCGGGGGAUGGGGUGUGAAGAUUUGCUCAUGGGUUUGGAAAAAAAUCUUUGGGCUCUAAAGGAACAGCUUAGUCACCAGGGGAAGAGGAAAACUGACCACGUUGUGAUUUUCUGAAGGUCAUUACAGAACAACACUGCAAUAAAAGAGAAGUCAUUGUCAUUCUUCUACUUGGCACAUUCAAAAAGGGCUCUGUCUUCAACGCUGGAGUGCAGUGGCGCAAUUAUAGUUCAUCAUAGCCUCAACCUCCCAGGCUCAAAAGAUUCUCCCACCUCAGUCUUCUAAGUAGCUGGGACGACAGCAUAUGUCCAUUUGGAGAGGCCCCAUUUCAAGUGCUCAGUGGCUGCUGGUGGCUGCCGAAUUGGAUACGUUGAGCUCAACGGUGCUCUCAGAAGCGCGGUGGCUCAU